rnacentral:rRNA from 1 species
GUGAACAAUUAAGGGCGCGCGGUGGAUGCCUAGGCUCUCGGAGGCGAAGAAGGACGCGAUAAGCCGCGAUAGUCCACGGCGAGGUGCAAGUAACCCUUGACCCGUGGGUUUCCGAAUGGGGCAACCCGGCCGUCUAGAUGACGGUCAUGCAUUAUCAUGCAGGCGAACGCGGGGAACUGAAACAUCUCAUUACCCGCAGGAGAAGAAAACAAAAUGUGAUUCCCCCAGUAGUGGCGAGCGAACGGGGAAGAGCCCAAACCGGUAGCGUUUCGGCGAUACCGGGGUCAUGGGACCACGCCAUUCGAAACAAGAUGAAGUGCAAUUACCUGGAAAGGUAAGCCGCGGAGGGUGAUAGCCCCGUGCACGUCAAUUCUUGUGGAGAUAGUGGAAUCCCGAGUAGGGCGGGACACGAGAAAUCCUGCCUGAAUUCGCCAGGACCUCCUGGCAAGGCUAAAUACUCCCGAGAGACCGAUAGUGAACCAGUACCGCGAGGGAAAGGUGAAAAGUACCCCGAGCAGGGGGGUGAAAUAGACCCUGAACCCGCGCGCCUACAAGCGGUCGGAGCUGCCUUGUGCAGUGACGGCGUGCCUUUUGCAUAAUGAGCCUACGAGUUAGUCGUCACCAGCGAGGUUAAGGGCUUCAGGCCCGAUAGCCGAAGUGAAAGCGAGCCUUAACAGGGCGUAAAGUUGGUGGCGCUAGACGCGAAACCUUGUGAUCUACCCACGAGCAGGUUGAAGUCGCGGUAACACGUGAUGGAGGACCGAACCGGUAAACGUUGAAAAGUUUUCGGAUGACUCGCGGGUAGGGGUGAAAGGCCAAUCAAACUGGGAAAUAGCUCGUACUCUCCGAAAUGCAUUUCGGUGCAGCCUGUGAUGUUCUGUUCCAGAGGUAGAGCUACUGGUUGGACGCGAGGGCUUCACCGCCUAUCAAAUCCGGAUAAACUCCGAAUGCUGGAACACGAAAUCAUGGAGUGAGCCCGCGGGUGCUAAGGUCCGCGGACGAGAGGGAAAGAACCCGGACCACCGGCUAAGGUCCCGGAUGGACAGUUAAGUUGAUCAAACGAGGUGGGAUCGCGGAGACAGCUAGGAUGUUGGCUUGGAAGCAGCCAUUCAUUUAAAGAGUGCGUAACAGCUCACUAGUCGAGCGAUCCCGCGUGGAUAAUACACGGGCAUCAAACUGUCAACCGAAGCCGUGGGGUCAGCGAGAAGCUGACCGGUAGGAGAGCAUUCCUGCCAGCGUUGAAGGUCACCCGCGAGAGUGACUGGAGCGGCAUGAAAAGCAAAUGUAGGCAUAAGUAACGAUAAUGGGGGCGAGAACCCCCCACGCCGCAAGACCAAGGCUUCCCCGGCAAUGUCAAUCAGCCGGGGGUCAGCCGGCCUCUAAGGUUAACCCGAAGGGGGAUGCCGACGAGAAACGGGUUAACAUUCCCGUGCUUCUCGUCACCGUGACGCGGUGACGGGGUGAUGAAUGGACCGCGCGCUGACGGAAUAGCGCGUUGAAGGCCGUACCCUUCGAGGGUGGUAGUCAAGCACGCCACCCGAGGCGAUAGCCGAUAGUACCACGAGACUCCGGUCGAGUGGAUAGCGUCCAGGCAAUUUACCCCCGAGAAAACCCGCUAAACUUCAAGUGACGAGGAACCGUACUGUAAACGGACACACGUGGUCGGGUAGAACAUACCAAGGCGCUCGAGUGAUUCAUGGUCAAGGAACUAGGCAAAAUAGUCCUGUAACUUCGGGAAAAAGGACGCUCUAGUGAUAGAGCCGCAGAGUAAUGGCCCAGGCGACUGUUUACCAAAAACACAUGGCUAUGCCAAAUCGAAAGAUGACGUAUAUGGCCUGACACCUGCCCGGUGCCGGAAGGUUAAGAGGAGAGCUCAUCGGAAACGAGAAGGUUUGAAUUGAAGCCCCGGUAAACGGCGGCCGUAACUAUAACGGUCCUAAGGUAGCGAAAUUCCUUGUCGGGUAAGUUC